rnacentral:piRNA from 1 species
UGCGUGGUCAUCCUGGCCACUGUGGAGGCAC